rnacentral:sRNA from 11 species
AACAACAACCACAAAAAUAACAGUUGCAAAUGAUGAGAACAACACUCCUCAGUUUCUUUUGAACUUCUUGCCACCUUUUGACUGCAUC